rnacentral:rRNA from 1 species
UGCCAGCAGCCCGGUAAUACGUAGGGUGCGAGCGUUGUCCGGAAUUAUUGGGCGUAAAGGGCUCGUAGGCGGUUUGUCGCGUCGGGAGUGAAAACACACAGCUUAACUGUGUGCUGGCUUCCGAUACGGGCAGACUAGAGGUAUGCAGGGGAGAACGGAAUUCCUGGUGUAGCGGUGAAAUGCGCAGAUAUCAGGAGGAACACCGGUGGCGAAGGCGGUUCUCUGGGCAUUACCUGACGCUGAGGAGCGAAAGUGUGGGGAGCGAACAGG